CAGUCGCCACGGUAAUACGUAGGGUGCGAGCGUUAAUCGGAAUUACUUGGCGUAAAGCGUGCGCAGGCGGUUUGUUAAGACAGAUGUGAAAUCCCCGGGCUUAACCUGGGAACUGCAUUUGUGACUGGCCGGCUAGAGUAUGGCAGAGGGAGGUGGAAUUCCACGUGUAGCAGUGAAAUGCGUAGAUAUGUGGAGGAACACCGAUGGCGAAGGCAGCCUCCUGGGCCAAUACUGACGCUCAUGCACGAAAGCGUGGGGAGCAAACAGGAUUAGAUACCCCUGUAGUCCCUGUCUCUUAUAU
rnacentral:rRNA from 1 species